rnacentral:rRNA from 1 species
CCUACGUGAGGCAGCAGUGAGGAAUAUUGGUCAAUGGGCGCGAGCCUGAACCAGCCAAGUAGCGUGAAGGAUGACUGCCCUACGGGUUGUAAACUUCUUUUAUAAAGGAAUAAAGUGAGGCACGUGUGCCUUUUUGUAUGUACUUUAUUAAUAAGGAUCGGCUAACUCCGUGCCAGCAGCCGCGGUAAUACGGAGGAUCCGAGCGUUAUCCGGAUUUAUUGGGUUUAAAGGGCGCGUAGAUGGGUUGUUAAGUCAGUUGUGAAAGUUUGCGGCUCAACCGUAAAAUUGCAAUUGAUACUGGCAGUCUUGAGUACAGUUGAGGUAGGCGGAAUUCGUGGUGUAGCGGUGAAAUGCUUAGAUAUCACGAAGAACUCCGAUUGCGAGGGCAGCUUACUAAACUGCCACUGACAUUGAUGCUCGAAAGUGUGGGUAUCAAACAGGAUUAGAUACCCGGGUAGUC